rnacentral:misc_RNA from 1 species
GAUGAAGAACGUAGCAAAAUGCGAUACUUGGUGUGAAUUGCAGAAUCCCGUGAAUCAUCGAGUUUUUGAACGCAAGUUGCGCCCGAAGCCAUCCGGCCGAGGGCACGCCUGCCUGGGCGUCACGCAUCUCGUCGCCACCCCCUCCUCCCCGUCCUCCGGGACGCUGGCUGGCAGCGGGGUGGCGGAUGCUGGCCUCCCGUUCCCUCGCGGCGCGGCUGGCCCAAAUGUGAGUCCCCCGGACAAGGGACGUCACGGCUUGAGGUGGUUGGACGAGUUUGUUUCAUUCAUUGAGGAGCCGUGACGGCCCCCGGGGCCCCCUCUUUUUAGACCCCAUAGAGGCGUGCAGUGGCCUCCGACCGCGCCCCCAGGUCAGGCGGGAUCACCCGCUGAGUUUAAGCAUAUCCAAUAAGCGGAGGA